GAUGAACGCUAGCUACAGGCUUAACACAUGCAAGUCGAGGGGCAGCAUGGUCUUAGCUUGCUAAGACUGAUGGCGACCGGCGCACGGGUGAGUAACACGUAUCCAACCUGCCGUCUACUCUUGGACAGCCUUCUGAAAGGAAGAUUAAUACAAGAUGGCAUCAUGAGUCCGCAUGUUCACAUGAUUAAAGGUAUUCCGGUAGACGAUGGGGAUGCGUUCCAUUAGAUAGUAGGCGGGGUAACGGCCCACCUAGUCUUCGAUGGAUAGGGGUUCUGAGAGGAAGGUCCCCCACAUUGGAACUGAGACACGGUCCAAACUCCUACGGGAGGCAGCAGUGAGGAAUAUUGGUCAAUGGGCGAGAGCCUGAACCAGCCAAGUAGCGUGAAGGAUGACUGCCCUAUGGGUUGUAAACUUCUUUUAUAAAGGAAUAAAGUCGGGUAUGCAUACCCGUUUGCAUGUACUUUAUGAAUAAGGAUCGGCUAACUCCGUGCCAGCAGCCGCGGUAAUACGGAGGAUCCGAGCGUUAUCCGGAUUUAUUGGGUUUAAAGGGAGCGUAGAUGGAUGUUUAAGUCAGUUGUGAAAGUUUGCGGCUCAACCGUAAAAUUGCAGUUGAUACUGGAUAUCUUGAGUGCAGUUGAGGCAGGCGGAAUCCGUGGUGUAGCGGUGAAAUGCUUAGAUAUCACGAAGAACUCCGAUUGCGAAGGCAGCCUGCUAAGCUGCAACUGACAUUGAGGCUCGAAAGUGUGGGUAUCAAACAGG
rnacentral:rRNA from 1 species